rnacentral:rRNA from 1 species
UAACAAGGAUUCCCCUAGUAACGGCGAGUGAAGAGGGAAGAGCCCAAGAUUGAAAGCUGGCGCCUUCGGCGUCCGCAUUGUAAUCUCAAGAAGUGUUUUCCGCUUCGGACCAUGCCUAAGUCCCUUGGAAAAGGGCAUCAUAGAGGGUGAUAAUCCCGUACAUGGCAUGGAGCGCCCGAAGCUUUGUGAUACGCUUUCUAAGAGUCGAGUUGUUUGGGAAUGCAGCUCAAAAUGGGUGGUAAAUGCCAUCUAAGGCUAAAUAUUGGGGAGAGACCGAUAGCGAACAAGUACAGUGAUGGAAAGAUGAAAAGAACUUUGAAAAGAGAGUUAAACAGUACGUGAAAUUGCCAAAAGGGAAGGGUAGGAGGUCAGAGAUGCGUUCUAGGAUUCAGCCUUGCUUUUGCAUGGUGUUUUUUCUAGUUUGCAGGCCAACGUCGGUUUUGGGCACUGGAGAAGGGUGGAAGGAAUGUGGCACCUCUCGGGGUGUGUUAUAGCCUUCUACUGGAUACAGCGACCGAGACCGAGGACAGUAGCGUACUCGCAAGAGCGGGCCUUCGGGCACCUUUACGCUUAGGGCGUUGGCAUAAU